rnacentral:rRNA from 1 species
UACGGAGGGUGCGAGCGUUGUCCGGAAUCACUGGGCGUAAAGGGCGCGUAGGCGGCCUGAUAAGUAGGGGGUGAAAUCCUGCGGCUUAACCGCAGGGCUGCCUUCUAAACCUGUCAGGCUGGAGCACAGUAGAGGCAGGUGGAAUUCCCGGUGUAGCGGUGGAAUGCGUAGAGAUCGGGAAGAACAUCAGUGGCGAAGGCGGCCUGCUGGGCUGUUGCUGACGCUGAGGCGCGACAGCGUGGGGAGCAAACAGG